GGAAAGACCCCGUGCACCUUUACUGCAGCUUCAGAGUGGCAUUAGGAAAGAAUUGUGUAGAAUAGGUGGGAGGCUUUGAAACUUGGGCGCCAGUCCGAGUGGAGCCAUAAUGUGAAAUACCACCCUAUUGUUUUCUGGUGUCUAACUUCGAUCCGUUAUCCGGAUCAGGGACCCUCUGUGGCGGGUAGUUUGACUGGGGCG
rnacentral:rRNA from 1 species